rnacentral:rRNA from 1 species
GACGAACGCUGGCGGCGUGCUUAACACAUGCAAGUCGAACGGAAAGGCCCUGCUUUUGUGGGGUGCUCGAGUGGCGAACGGGUGAGUAACACGUGAGUAACCUGCCCUUGACUUUGGGAUAACUUCAGGAAACUGGGGCUAAUACCGGAUAGGAGCUCCUGCUGCAGGGUGGGGGUUGGAAAGUUUCGGCGGUUGGGGAUGGACUCGCGGCUUAUCAGCUUGUUGGUGGGGUAGUGGCUUACCAAGGCUUUGACGGGUAGCCGGCCUGAGAGGGUGACCGGCCACAUUGGUACUGAGAUACGGCCCAGACUCCUACGGGAGGCAGCAGUGGUGAAUAUUGCACAAUGGGCGGAAGUCUGAUGCAGCAACUUCGCGUGCGGGAUGACGGCCUUCUGGUUGUAAACCGCUUUCGCCUGUGACGAAGCGUGAUUGACGGUAAUGUGUAAAGAAGCACCGGCUAACUACGUG